AAAAAUUAGAAGUUGCAAAAUCUGGCCUCAACUCUUCCUCCCACAGCUAUUCAUCACUCUCUAAAACACUAUUAUCUUUUUUAUAUAUUAUAAUUGCCAUUGACAUUCAUGUCACCUUUUCCUAUGUUGAGGCUUCUUUUAUAUCAACAUUUUCAAAUUAUAAUAUUUACCAGUCCGUUGUCUUCCAUUCUGACUAAUAAGACAUCUCUGUCUGAUUAUAGACCUAAUUCCAACUAAGAAAACACAUUCUGCUGUGUGGAGUCAGCUCUUCGAUAUUUUGAAUUAUUUAGAGGUACCAGUGGCAUCUAAGAGCGGAACAUUUGGAAACCUACCAGUCUAUUCAAAAGGUCAGAGCACCUAACU
rnacentral:lncRNA from 1 species